CAGCAACGCCGCGUGAGUGAUGAAGGCCUUCGGGUCGUAAAACUCUGUCCUCAAGGAAGAUAAUGACGGUACUUGAGGAGGAAGCCCCGGCUAACUACGUGCCAGCAGCCGCGGGAAUACGUAGGGGGCUAGCGUUAUCCGGAUUUACUGGGCGUAAAGGGUGCGUAGGCGGGCUUUCAAGUCAGGAGUGAAAGGCUACGGCUCAACCGUAGUAAGCUCUUGAAACUGGGAGACUUGAGUGC
rnacentral:rRNA from 1 species